GACCUCUGUGGAGGAACUCCUCCUCCUUGGCCUUGUAGAAGUGGUUCACCUUGUUCAGCUGCGCGUCCAGCCUCGCGAAGAACUCCCUCGCCGCCGUCGCCGCCGUCGUCUCCAUCUCCGGCGUCACCUCCGUCUCCAUGAUCAGCAUUAUUGGAGCCAAAGAAGGCCGCCGGGAGCUUGUGCAACAGGAGCCUGCAGUGAGACAAAUUAUAACUUGAUGGCGCCGCAACUGAUUGCUGCUGCUGAUGAUGAUCAUGAGGUGUUGAGGUGGUAAUUAUGGUCCCUUGGGGAGAAUAAUCAUGCUGCAUCCUCUUAAGAUCUUUCUUGAGCAAGCUAUAGUCCACAAAGGCAUGCUUCCACUCAGGGACAAGCUGCCCUUCAAAUUGCUUCGAGAACUUCACCAUGGUUAAUUCUAUAUGAUCAACUUAAUUAACGAGCAAUACGCAUGCAGCUGCUAAUUAAUUAUAUUGUUGUGUGCUGUGCUGUGCAGGGGGAGCCAUGGAGGUUGUUAUAUAGCAGCUAGCUGAUCUGAUGGGAUGGAAUGGAAUAAUAAUCUCUCUCUCUCUCUAUCUUUGCAGGUGUUGCGAGACAACGCAUUAUAUUCUCAGAUAUACUACACUACGCGUACGUGUUAUAUCUAGGCCAGCUAGGCUAUAUAUCUAGCUUAGCUUAAAGCUUGUUGGUGAUGGUUGUGCUGGAUUGGAUUCCAGGAGAGAAGAGAGACAGAAUCAAGAGAAAUAGUACUCCAUAUAGAUCAAGGUGAAGAGAAGAGUGCUCCAGAGAGGACAGAGAGAAAUCUAGAGAGAAGCUAGCUAGAGGGAUGCAUAUGGAGAGGAAGAAGAGAAACUAGUGCAUAUAUACAUAUAUGCAAGAUGAAAGCAUAUGCAUCUGAAUGUGAGGAUAGUGAUCAAGUGGAGACGGAUGAGAUUAGCAGCUAGUGGGUGGGUCCCCUCCAUAUAUAUAUGCAUGCCCACAUAAUUAAGCAUGGUGCUCGAUCAGUAAAUCAGUUGGUCCAGAUCGACGCCAUUAUUUGGGAAUGCAUAGGUGUAGAGCAUGCAUCCACUAUUCUCCAUAUGUCAACAAGCACGAUGACAUGCAUGCAUGAAAAAGUGUGCGUAUAUCUAAUGAUAUGAUCGGGUUUCUACUUUUCCAUUAUUUUU